rnacentral:rRNA from 1 species
GAAUUUUAUAUAAUUAUUGAAGUUAAGAUAAUUUAAUUUUAAUUUAUAUUUGGUUGGGAGGAUUAUUAAAUAAUAAAAACUUUAAUUUUAUUGAUAACAUUUAUUUAUGAUAUUUUAUAUAAAUUAAGUUAAUUAAAGAUAUAAAAAUUAAUUACCUUAGGGAUAACAGCGUUAUAUUUUUAGAGAGAUCAUAUUGAUAAAAAUGUUUGC